UACGGAGGGGGCAAGCGUUAAUCGGAAUUACUGGGCGUAAAGCGCACGCAGGCGGGCUGUCAAGUCGGAUGUGAAAUCCCCGGGCUCAACCCGGGAACUGCAUUCGAAACUGUCAGACUAGAGUCUGGUAGAGGGGGGUGGAAUUCCAGGUGUAGCGGUGAAAUGCGUAGAGAUCUGGAGGAACACCGGUGGCGAAGGCGGCCCCCUGGACAAAGACUGACGCUCAGGUGCGAAAGCGUGGGGAGCAAACAGG
rnacentral:rRNA from 1 species